GGAGGCUAAAGUAAAUUCGGCCCAUUUAAGUGUUCAGGCCCAUUUAAGACUUUUAGGUGCUGACGUGGGCUGCGCGUCGUGACCCAAUGGAACGGGCUGGCUUGCAACUCCGUCUCCUCGCGCUUCCUCCCGACGGCGUCCCGUCCUGGAUGCCCCGAGGUGGCCGUUCGCCAUUGACAGGAGUACGAGGAGCUACGUGCAUGGGGGUGAGUAUGUCGAUCGUUGUUUCCGAGGAGAUUGGAUAUCGUCGGAGUAAGUACUCCUUCCAAUCUUCUUCUUUUUCUCUCUUUUUUUCUUCCCGAAAGAAACAUGCUUUGGAUCUCUAGUUACUUUCUUGAUUUCAUCGGAUCAAAUUUGGAUUCUGUUGAAUAAACACAAGGCGAAUAGGUUUCUCUAAACGAUCGAUCGAUGCACGAAGCUUCAGAUUCAGAGUGGGCGGGCAAUCCGGUCAAUAGGUUGGUACAGGUUCAGACUUCAGAUUUCUUACCAGCGAACAGUGGGCUGGUUGGAGGCUUGCAGCAAGCUCAAUCAGCCGGUGAGUCCGUGACUCCGUGUUGGUGACUUGGACGAAAGAAGAUGUUCGACCUCAAGCAUGCCGCUGUCGAUAGCCGACAUGGCACGGGGAGCUCGCUCCACAGCCGCAGGCGAGAAGAUAAGAAGCCCAAUUUGCAUGGAUGAUUAAGUUCCAGCUACUGAGCAAGAUAAGUCAGCAUGUCAUUUAUCAAGACGGCAACAGGGAGAAGAGGACGUAUAUUGUACUGGACUUCCGGGGACGUACGACGAAUGUUAAGAUGCCUCAACAUCUCGUCCUUUGUCCUGUAUGACUGGAUUUGUAUGUCAGCUAUCAGCAUAAGCGGUCAAUCCACGGCACGGCGAUUUGAGAAACGAAGCACGCGGAUGUAAUGCAAUGUUAUUUUCGAAGUGUUUUUAAACCCUUGGCCAUGGGGCCUGGCACAACCACACACGAGAAAAGACUCGUAUAUACUCUAUUUUAGGAGGCAAAUCUCCGGGGGGGAAGAAAAUCUGCCAUCUAGCUUGAUCGCUCCAAGAAAGGUCAUAACAGAGAUACCAAGCCCUUACAUAACAAAACAUACCAUGGUUGUUCCAUCGGCAUUGCUGCUGCCGCUGCCGCUGCUAUUGCUGUGUUACGGAUUUGGAAACAUCCAUUGCUCACCAGUUCAUAGGAGCAGCAUCGAUCUCCACUCGCUGCUCGACUUCAAGCAGGGCAUCUCUAGUGAUCCAAAUGAAGCCUUGAAGUCCUGGAACACCAGCACCCACUACUGUAAGUGGACGGGCGUCAUGUGCACCCAAACGCGACCAUGGCGCGUCUCAGGGCUUAACCUCACUGGUCUAAGCUUGGGUGGCCAAAUUAGCUCCUCUCUCGGAAACCUGACCUUCCUUAAUUAUCUGGACCUCUCCUAUAAUAAUUUCUUUGGCCCGUUGCCUCUUCUUAACCGGCUCCAACAACUGAAAAACCUUAUCCUAGGAAGCAACAGUUUGCACGGGGCUAUUCCAGUCUCACUUACAAAUUCUUCCAGCUUGUCAUACCUGGACCUCUCCACAAACCUUCUAGUUGGUGCGAUUCCUGCGAACAUAAGCUUACUUUCGAACCUAGAGUAUUUGGAUCUUGAUCAGAACAAUCUCACCGGGACCGUCCUGCAAACCAUAGGAGACAUUACGUCAUUAGAAAUACUUUAUCUUUUUCAAAAUCAACUAAGUGGAAGCAUUCCCGAUAAGAUUUGGCAAUUGCCGAAUCUUAUGCAAUUGGUGCUCGGUGAAAAUAAUUUGUCAGGUGGAAUACCACAAACCCUCCAUAAUAUAUCUUCUCUACAAAGAUUAGGUUUGGAGUA